rnacentral:tRNA from 1 species
GGGCUCGUAGUAUAGCUUGGAUAGAAUAGGGGCUUCCGGAGCCCUAGACCCGGGUUCGAAUCCCGGCGAGCUCA